rnacentral:tRNA from 1 species
GGCAGUUUAGCUUAAUGGUAAAGAACUUGGCCGGAGUCUUUAAGGAAUGUGGGUUCGUGACCCAUAGCUGUUU